rnacentral:rRNA from 1 species
UGGGGAAUAUUGCACAAUGGGGGAAACCCUGAUGCAGCAACGCCGCGUGAGUGAAGAAGUAUUUCGGUAUGUAAAGCUCUAUCAGCAGGGAAGAGAAUGACGGUACCUGACUAAGAAGCCCCGGCUAACUACGUGCCAGCAGCCGCGGUAAUACGUAGGGGGCGAGCGUUAUCCGGAUUUACUGGGUGUAAAGGGAGCGUAGACGGUUCUGCAAGUCUGAAGUGAAAGCCCGUGGCUUAACCGCGGAACGGCUUUGGAAACUGUGGAACUGGAGUGCUGGAGAGGCAAGCGGAAUUCCUAGUG